rnacentral:rRNA from 1 species
GACGAACGCCGGCGGCGUGCCUAAUACAUGCAAGUCGAACGCUGAAGGAGGAGCUUGCUUCUCCGGAUGAGUUGCGAACGGGUGAGUAACGCGUAGGUAACCUGCCUGGUAGCGGGGGAUAACUAUUGGAAACGAUAGCUAAUACCGCAUAACAGUAGAUAUCGCAUGAUAUCUGCUUGAAAGGUGCAAUUGCAUCACUACCAGAUGGACCUGCGUUGUAUUAGCUAGUUGGUGAGGUAACGGCUCACCAAGGCGACGAUACAUAGCCGACCUGAGAGGGUGGUCGGCCACACUGGGACUGAGACAAGGCCCAGACUCCUACGGGAGGCAGCAGUAGGGAAUCUUCGGCAAUGGACGGAAGUCUGACCGAGCAACGCCGCGUGAGUGAAGAAGGUUUUCGGAUCGUAAAGCUCUGUUGUAAGAGAAGAACGAGUGUGAGAGUGGAAAGUUCACACUGUGACGGUAGCUUACCAGAAAGGGACGGCUAACUACGUG